UGAACGCUGGCGGCGUGCCUAAUACAUGCAAGUCGAGCGAAUGGAUUAAGAGCUUGCUCUUAUGAAGUUAGCGGCGGACGGGUGAGUAACACGUGGGUAACCUGCCCAUAAGACUGGGAUAACUCCGGGAAACCGGGGCUAAUACCGGAUAACAUUUUGAACCGCAUGGUUCGAAAUUGAAAGGCGGCUUCGGCUGUCACUUAUGGAUGGACCCGCGUCGCAUUAGCUAGUUGGUGAGGUAACGGCUCACCAAGGCAACGAUGCGUAGCCGACCUGAGAGGGUGAUCGGCCACACUGGGACUGAGACACGGCCCAGACUCCUACGGGAGGCAGCAGUAGGGAAUCUUCCGCAAUGGACGAAAGUCUGACGGAGCAACGCCGCGUGAGUGAUGAAGGCUUUCGGGUCGUAAAACUCUGUUGUUAGGGAAGAACAAGUGCUAGUUGAAUA
rnacentral:rRNA from 1 species